GACGUAGGGCGCGAGCGUUGUCCGGAUUUAUUGGGCGUAAAGAGCUCGUAGGCGGCUUGUCGCGUCGACUGUGAAAACCCGCGGCUCAACCGUGUGGUCUGCAGUCGAUACGGGCAGGCUAGAGUUCGGUAGGGGAGACUGGAAUUCCUGGUGUAGCGGUGAAAUGCGCAGAUAUCAGGAGGAACACCGGUGGCGAAAGCGGCUCUCUGGAACGGUACUGACGCUGAGACGCGAAAGCGUGGGGAGCGAACAGG
rnacentral:rRNA from 1 species